rnacentral:lncRNA from 1 species
UAAACUCAAUGAAGGGGAAUACCCUAAACAAACUUAAGGAAGGGGAUGUCCGAAAACAACUCAAGGAAGGAAAAUGUCCUGAACAUACUCAAGGAAUAGGGCAUACCCUUAAACAAACUCAUAGGAUGGCGUCCCAAUUAUGAGAAACCAAAGGAACAAACAAUGAACAUAGGCCGAACCUAGGAUUGCAUCCAAAUAUUUGGAACCCAAAGGAACUAAGAACAAACCUAGAUAGAAACUAG